CAUAGGUUAAUGAGGCGAACCGGGGGAACUGAAACAUCUAAGUACCCCGAGGAAAAGAAAUCAACCGAGAUUCCCCCAGUAGCGGCGAGCGAACGGGGAGCAGCCCAGAGCCUGAAUCAGUGUGUGUGUUAGUGGAAGCGUCUGGAAAGGCGCGCGAUACAGGGUGACAGCCCCGUACACAAAAAUGCACAUACUGUGAGCUCGAUGAGUAGGGCGGGACACGUGGUAUCCUGUCUGAAUAUGGGGGGACCAUCCUCCAAGGCUAAAUACUCCUGACUGACCGAUAGUGAACCAGUACCGUGAGGGAAAGGCGAAAAGAACCCCGGCGAGGGGAGUGAAAAAGAACCUGAAACCGUGUACGUACAAGCAGUGGGAGCACGCUUAGGCGUGUGACUGCGUACCUUUUGUAUAAUGGGUCAGCGACUUAUAUUCUGUAGCAAGGUUAACCGAAUAGGGGAGCCGAAGGGAAACCGAGUCUUAACUGGGCGUUAAGUUGCAGGGUAUAGACCCGAAACCCGGUGAUCUAGCCAUGGGCAGGUUGAAGGUUGGGUAACACUAACUGGAGGACCGAACCGACUAAUGUUGAAAAAUUAGCGGAUGACUUGUGGCUGGGGGUGAAAGGCCAAUCAAACCGGGAGAUAGCUGGUUCUCCCCGAAAGCUAUUUAGGUAGCGCCUCGUGAAUUCAUCUCCGGGGGUAGAGCACUGUUUCGGCAAGGGGGUCAUCCCGACUUACCAACCCGAUGCAAACUGCGAAUACCGGAGAAUGUUAUCACGGGAGACACACGGCGGGUGCUAACGUCCGUCGUGAAGAGGGAAACAACCCAGACCGCCAGCUAAGGUCCCAAAGUCAUGGUUAAGUGGGAAACGAUGUGGGAAGGCCCAGACAGCCAGGAUGUUGGCUUAGAAGCAGCCAUCAUUUAAAGAAAGCGUAAUAGCUCACUGGUCGAGUCGGCCUGCGCGGAAGAUGUAACGGGGCUAAACCAUGCACCGAAGCUGCGGCAGCGACGCUGAUGCGUUGUUGGGUAGGGGAGCGUUCUGUAAGCCUGUGAAGGUGUGCUGUGAGGCAUGCUGGAGGUAUCAGAAGUGCGAAUGCUGACAUAAGUAACGAUAAAGCGGGUGAAAAGCCCGCUCGCCGGAAGA
rnacentral:rRNA from 1 species